rnacentral:ncRNA from 2 species
GGUCAUGAGUACCAGCGACAAGCCCCGGCUCGCUGGUCGGCAACCCUCCUCUGCGGUGGGGUGCCCCGGGUGAAGACCUGGCCACGUCCCCCAGGACGUGUGCAAGCGCGAGCA